rnacentral:rRNA from 1 species
GACGAACGCUGGCGGCGUGCUUAACACAUGCAAGUCGAACGGAAAGGCCCCCUUGUGGGGUACUCGAGUGGCGAACGGGUGAGUAACACGUGAGUAACCUACCCUUGACUUUGGGAUAACUUCAGGAAACUGGGGCUAAUACCGGAUAGGAGCUCCUGCUGCAUGGUGGGGGUUGGAAAGUUUCGGCGGUUGGGGAUGGGCUCGCGGCCUAUCAGCUUGUUGGUGGGGUAGUGGCUCACCAAGGCUUUGACGGGUAGCCGGCCUGAGAGGGUGACCGGCCACAUGAGGACUGAGAUACGGCCCAGACUCCAACGGGAGGCAGCAGUGGGGAAUAUUGCACAAUGGGCGGAAGCCUGAGGCGGCAACGCCGCGUGCGGGAUGACGGCCUGCGGGUUGUAAACCGCUUUCGCCUGUGACGAAGCGUGAGUGACGGUAAUGGGUAAAGAAGCACCGGCUAACUACGUG